CCUACGGGUGGCAGCAGUCGGGAAUCUUCCGCAAUGGAGGAAACUCUGACGCAGUGACGCCGCGUAUAGGAAGAAGGUUUUCGGAUUGUAAACUAUUGUCGUUAGGGAAGAUAAGAGACUGUACCUAAGGAGUAAGACUCGGCUAACUCUGUACCAGAAGCCGCGGUAAAACAUAGGCGGCAAGCGUUAGCCGGAAUUAUUGGGGGUAAAGGGUGCGUAGACAGAGGACCAAGAUGGGUCUGAAAUCCCUCGGCUCAACCGAGGAACGGCCACCAAAACUAGUCGCCUGGAGUGUAGGGGAGGAAAGUGGAAUUCCAAGUGUAGCGGUGAAAUGCGUAGAUAUUUGGAGGAACACCAGUGGCGAAGGCGACUUUCUGGACGAUAACUGACGCUGAGGCGCGAAAGUGUGGGGAGCAAACAGGAUUAGAUACCCUUGUAGUC
rnacentral:rRNA from 1 species